AUUACGCCUGGGUCUGAACAGCACCACAGCCAUUGUAUCUGGCCAAGCCAAGCUGCUUAGCUCCAGCCCUUACCCACAUUUCUUCUGAAGCUUCAGGAGCACGGUGUUAUGACUUCCAGCAAUUUCACAAUGGACAAAUACUCGAUGUGCAAAAUCAUGAAGGCAAAGAGGCCACAUCCCUGCCGCCCCGGUGUCACACAGCCAUUCAGACAGAGGCUUUGAUUCUGUCGUGACGAGGAUGUUACUGCAUGUACUGCUUAGAAGAUUUCCAUUGCACAUCUCCUUCUUAGCUAAAACGUUACACACAGCCACCUAACAGAGACCUGGUCUUACAGCUCCUCCAAGGCUCCUCUAGUCUGCCCAAGCAGCUCGGGGAUUUUCUCGUAACCGGUCUGGUAUCUUUACCUCUCCCCAGGGAUAUAAUCUUAAAAUUAGGCCCCUUCCCUUUAUCUCAAGAACAGGAAGAAGCAUCCCACAGUGUAUUGACAGAAAUGCCAAUUUCAGUGUAUGUUCCACUGUGGCUGUGCAGAAUGGCUCUUUCUGCCAGUGGCUGCCCAGGAGAGCACACUGCUCCCUCACUGCCAGCUUUCCUCCCAGUGAGAAAACUGCAAAUCAAUGCACUGACAGCUCUCAUCAGUAAUUAGCAGCAGUGCUAUGAAAUACCAUGAGUUUAGCUGCAUGGAAAUGUUUCCUUUGGUAUGGAAAUACCAUAGAUGCCAUUCCUGCUUGUGGACAUGUGCACAGGUGGAAGCUGGGCCCGUGGCAGAGCUGGACAAGCAGCCACCCACCUAAACCCAAGCAAGACUUUCUGCCAUCCCAUCCACAGUGCCUCUAAGCUCGUGGCACGGAUAUGCCAUCCCAGAUUUCUUUCCCUAUGUGAAAAUAGAUGAGAAAUAUGAGAAAAAACACCCGCUUUGUUUUAGGAAAUGGUAGUAUCAUUUAUGAGCAAGCUUGGAGGGCUUGGAUUGAAAAGCUGAUUGACAAGGAGCUGAUCAGCCUCAUUUUACCACUACCAGAGAGCACAGGAGUUAAUAUUUCAGGCAUGAUCUGAGGUGGCAGCGGGUAGGCGAGGUG